AUACGUAGGUGGCAAGCGUUGUCCGGAAUUACUGGGCGUAAAGGGUGCGUAGGCGGUUCAUUAAGUGGGAUGUGAAAUACCCGGGCUUAACUCGGGAGGUGCAUUCCAAACUGGUGAGCUAGAGUGCAGGAGAGGAAAGUGGAAUUCCCAGUGUAGCGGUGAAAUGCGUAGAGAUUGGGAGGAACACCAGUGGCGAAGGCGACUUUCUGGACUGUAACUGACGCUGAGGCACGAAAGUGUGGGGAGC
rnacentral:rRNA from 1 species